rnacentral:rRNA from 1 species
CGAACUCUGGUAUUGAUUGGUGCUUGCAUCAUGAUUUACAUUUGAGUGAGUGGCGAACUGGUGAGUAACACGUGGGAAACCUGCCCAGAAGCGGGGGAUAACACCUGGAAACAGAUGCUAAUACCGCAUAACAACUUGGACCGCAUGGUCCGAGCUUGAAAGAUGGCUUCGGCUAUCACUUUUGGAUGGUCCCGCGGCGUAUUAGCUAGAUGGUGGGGUAACGGCUCACCAUGGCAAUGAUACGUAGCCGACCUGAGAGGGUAAUCGGCCACAUUGGGACUGAGACACGGCCCAAACUCCUACGGGAGGCAGCAGUAGGGAAUCUUCCACAAUGGACGAAAGUCUGAUGGAGCAACGCCGCGUGAGUGAAGAAGGGUUUCGGCUCGUAAAACUCUGUUGUUAAAGAAGAACAUAUCUGAGAGUAACUGUUCAGGUAUUGACGGUAUUUAACCAGAAAGCCACGGCUAACUACGUGCCAGCAGCCGCGGUAAUACGUAGGUGGCAAGCGUUGUCCGGAUUUAUUGGGCGUAAAGCGAGCGCAGGCGGUUUUUUAAGUCUGAUGUGAAAGCCUUCGGCUCAACCGAAGAAGUGCAUCGGAAACUGGGAAACUUGAGUGCAGAAGAGGACAGUGGAACUCCAUGUGUAGCGGUGAAAUGCGUAGAUAUAUGGAAGAACACCAGUGGCGAAGGCGGCUGUCUGGUCUGUAACUGACGCUGAGGCUCGAAAGUAUGGGUAGCAAACAGGAUUAGAUACCCUGGUAGUCCAUACCGUAAACGAUGAAUGCUAAGUGUUGGAGGGUUUCCGCCCUUCAGUGCUGCAGCUAACGCAUUAAGCAUUCCGCCUGGGGAGUACGGCCGCAAGGCUGAAACUCAAAGGAAUUGACGGGGGCCCGCACAAGCGGUGGAGCAUGUGGUUUAAUUCGAAGCUACGCGAAGAACCUUACCAGGUCUUGACAUACUAUGCAAAUCUAAGAGAUUAGACGUUCCCUUCGGGGACAUGGAUACAGGUGGUGCAUGGUUGUCGUCAGCUCGUGUCGUGAGAUGUUGGGUUAAGUCCCGCAACGAGCGCAACCCUUAUUAUCAGUUGCCAGCAUUAAGUUGGGCACUCUGGUGAGACUGCCGGUGACAAACCGGAGGAAGGUGGGGAUGACGUCAAAUCAUCAUGCCCCUUAUGACCUGGGCUACACACGUGCUACAAUGGAUGGUACAACGAGUUGCGAACUCGCGAGAGUAAGCUAAUCUCUUAAAGCCAUUCUCAGUUCGGAUUGUAGGCUGCAACUCGCCUACAUGAAGUCGGAAUCGCUAGUAAUCGCGGAUCAGCAUGCCGCGGUGAAUACGUUCCCGGGCCUUGUACACACCGCCCGUCACACCAUGAGAGUUUGUAACACCCAAAGUCGGUGGGGUAACCUUUUAG